rnacentral:rRNA from 1 species
GACGAACUCUGGCGGCGUGCUUAACACAUGCAAGUCGAACGGAAAGGCCCUGCUUUUGUGGGGUGCUCGAGUGGCGAACGGGUGAGUAACACGUGAGUAACCUGCCCUUGACUUUGGGAUAACUUCAGGAAACUGGGGCUAAUACCGGAUAGGAGCUCCUGCUGCAUGGUGGGGGUUGGAAAGUUUUGGCGGUUGGGGAUGGACUCGCGGCUUAUCAGCUUGUUGGUGGGGUAGUGGCUUACCAAGGCUUUGACGGGUAGCCGGCCUGGGAGGGUGACCGGCCACAUUGGGACUGAGAUACGGCCCAGACUCCUACGGGAGGCAGCAGUGGGGAAUAUUGCACAAUGGGCGGAAGCCUGAUGCAGCAACGCCGCGUGCGGGAUGACGGCCUUCGGGUUGUAAACCGCUUUCGCCUGUGACGAAGCGUGAGUGACGGUAAUGGGUAAAGAAGCACCGGCUAACUACGUG